rnacentral:lncRNA from 1 species
ACCACAUGUAUGUCCUUCAGAAUGAAAAAGAAUUAUCCUCUUUCUCAGUAUUCACAGGAUGUAGAGAGAGAAAGAGAGAGGCACAGGCACAGGAGGAGAGAGAAGCAGGCUCCAUGCUGGGAGCCUGACGUGGGACUCGAUCCCGGGACUCCAGGAUCACGCCCUGGGCCAAAGGCAGGCGCCAAACUGCUGAGCCACCCAGGGAUCCCCCAUAAACAUUACUCUGCUGGAAUGUGUGCUGGAUUUGGGGGACAGCUGGAGUUUGGCCCAGGCUUCGCUACAUCGCCCCCAUGCUGCCAAGGAGCCCAGAAGACCUUGACCAAGGGCAGGAUGAGUCAGGAGCUACAAGCAAUCUUCCAAGACCAUUUCCUGUGGCCUCCCCUCCCUGGCCUAGGACCAAAGCAGGACCGUGGAGACUGCCCCUCUUCCAUCCUCUAUUGCCUCUGAAUCGGUGAUACUGAUUUAAGGCACUCACACUGAAGCCUCCAUUUAUACUUGUUUAGAGUUCUUUGGAAAUAAGAAAAAACAUACAAUUGUUUCUAUUUCUCUGAAAAUAAGGGCAAUACUAGAUACCUAUUGCUUAAAAUAAAUAUUGUUG